AAGUUUAAUUAGGUCCCAUUUGUUUAUUUUUCUUCUUAUUUUCAUUGCUCCAGGAGGUGGAUCAAAAAAGAUAUCACCGUGACUAUGUCAGAGUGUUCUGCCUACGUUUUCCUCUUUUAAAAGAAUUUUAUAGUAUCUGGCCUUAUGUUUAGGUCUUUAAAUCCAUCUCGUGUCUUUUUGUGUGUAUGGUGUUCUUUUUUUGCGUAUGAACACUCUCAUUCUUGGGCUUUAAAAGUGUCAACUGGUUGAGAGUUACAGUGGGAGGAAGGCAAGAAAUUAUGGAACCAAGCAGAGUAUUUGGAUAGGUGUAUGACCCUAGAGAACUUUGAAAACUUAAAUGCUAUAAUGGUGGUAAGGCAGAUGAGUUCCUAUUUUAAUUGAUAGGUGAAAAACUACUCAAAACUUAAACUUUUGAAAAUCCUGAUACAUUUAGUGGAUUAGGAACAAAUCCUGAGUGUAUUAUAAAAUGUUACCUAUUCCUGGGGUUCAUGCUAUUGCACAGUGGGAUAGGAGGUGUCUGCAGAGCCAGGACUCAGGUUGAAUUCCCAGCCUGGCAGUGGGUUAAAGGAUCUGGCGUUGCCACACAGCUGCAGCGAAGGUCACAACUAUGUCUUGAAUCUGUCCCUGGCCUGGGAAUUCCAUAUGUUGUGGGGUGGCCAGAAAAAAAAAAGUUAACUUAUUUAGAGUGCCUGUGGUGGUUCAGCAGGUUAAAACCCAACAACAGUGUCGCUGAGCAUGUGGGUUCAAUCUCUGGCAUCACUCAGUGGGUUAAGGACCCUGUGUUACCACAAGCUGCAGCAUUAGUCACACAUGGGGCUUGGAUCCAGUGUUGCUGUGGCGUAGGCCUGAGGCUACAGCUCCCACUCAAUCCCUAGUCUGGGAAAUUCCAUAUGCCGCAGGUGCAGCCUUAAAAAAAAAAAGAAGUUAUUCUCCUGAGAUGAUCCCUAGAGUGAGAUGUGAGGAGAAACUAUGAUGUCUCUUGUUAUUUAAGUUGGACGGGGAUUUGAAACUUCAUUUUUUAUGGGACCGAACCCGCAACCUCAUGGUUCCUAGUCGGAUUCGUUAACCACUGCGCCACAACGGGAACUCCCAAUCCCCAACUUCUAAUUUGUCCCUCCCCUUAGUUUAUUUGAAAUUCUAAUUCCUUCAUGGGAAGGUUAGCAAAAAUCUGUAAGAGGAAGAAGGUCAAGUAGACUCUGUUCAGAACAUCCUGAUCCACUCUAGGAUGUCUUCGUUGGGGUUCAUCGAUGUGAGAGUGAAGCAGUGACACAGGCUGUAUGGGACACACAUUGAAGAGGGGGAUUAUAUCCUGUGCAAGAGGUAGGUCCAUUGGGUGGUCAGCCAUGAAGAGGAGUUAUGUAAAAAUACAAAGAGAAGAGAGGGAGCAAGGCUGUAUUAGGAUGGCUGGCUUGAGUCCAUCCCUCUAAUUCCAGAGGGCUCCCUAGGACACUGAAGUGCCUCUGCUAAUGCAGCUGCUGCUGCUGCUGCCUGUGGUGCAACAAGAAUCCUGAUCUUCCGGGUUAUAGAGGACAACACUGUGGCACCCCUGUGGAACAGCCAAAAGAUUAGUUCAAACCUGACUUCAGCCUACGUUCCUCAUACUUUAUAGCGCANNNNNNNAAAAAAAAAAAAAAAAAAAAAAAAAACACGGAAAGACAGGAGGGAGAGAAAAAAAGAUUCUGAAACAGAUGUUCAAAAUUUUUUUUGACCACGCCCAUGACAUGCAAAAGUUCCCAGGCCAGGGAUUGAACCCUCGCCACAGUGAUGACCUGAGCCACAGUGUCAGCAAUGCCAGAUCCUCAACCCACUGAGUCACCAGGGAACUCUGUGUACAAGGUUUUUUGGGGUUUUUUUUUGUCUUUUUCUAGGGCCGCACUUGCGGCAUAUGAAGGUUCCCAGGCUAGGAGUCUUAAUUGGAGCUGUAGCUGCCGGCCUACACUAGAGCCACAGCAACGCGGGAUCCGAGCCGCGUCUGCAACCUACACCACAACUCACGGCAACGCUGGAUCCUUAACCCACUGAGCGAGGCCAGGGAUCGAACCCACCACCUCAUGGUUCCUAGUCAGACUGGUUAACCACUGCGCCACAACGGGAACUCCCUGGUUCUUGUAAUUAUUAAUAGAGGCAAGUUGAAGGUUCUGCCUUACAUUUGUGGAUUCAUCAGUGUCUCCUUGCAGUUCCAUCUGUUUUUUCCUGGUGUACUUUGCCAUUCUAUUGCUGUGCACAUAACCCUAAAGAUAGCUGUGUCUCCUUAGAGACUUGACCCCUUUAUAAAUAUGUAAUGCCAUUCUUUAUCCCAGUGCUUUGUCUGAGAGUAAUAUCGAUGUUCCAGCUGUUUUUUAAUGAUGACGUGGGAUAUCUUUUCAUCUCUGAGUCUUAAUUUCUUUACUGUUAAUGUAAUUUUAUUAAAAACAGCAUAUAGUUGGAUGGGUGUUUGUGUUCUUUUUUCCUUAAUUUUUAAUUUUGUUUUUCUUUUUUAGGGCCUCAUCCAUGUCACAUGAAAGUUCCCAGGAUAGGAGUUCCUGUCGUGGAUCAGUGGUAACAAACCCAAAUAGUAUCCAUGAGGAGGUGGGUUUGAUCCCUGGGCUCGCUCAGGGGGUUAAAGAUCUGGCAUUGCUGUGAGCUGUAGUGUAGGUUGCCAGUGCAGCUCAAAUCCUCUGUGGCUGUGCCUGGGUGGCAUAGCCUGGCAGCUAUAGCUCCAAAUCUAGCCUG
rnacentral:lncRNA from 1 species